GGGUUGUGAGGUUAAGCGACUAAGCGUACACGGUGGAUGCCCUGGCAGUCAGAGGCGAUGAAGGACGUGCUAAUCUGCGAUAAGCGUCGGUAAGGUGAUAUGAACCGUUAUAACCGGCGAUUUCCGAAUGGGGAAACCCAGUGUGAUUCGUCACACUAUCAUUAACUGAAUCCAUAGGUUAAUGAGGCGAACCGGGGGAACUGAAACAUCUAAGUACCCCGAGGAAAAGAAAUCAACCGAGAUUCCCCCAGUAGCGGCGAGCGAACGGGGAGCAGCCCAGAGCCUGAAUCAGUGUGUGUGUUAGUGGAAGCGUCUGGAAAGGCGCGCGAUACAGGGUGACAGCCCCGUACACAAAAAUGCACAUACUGUGAGCUCGAUGAGUAGGGCGGGACACGUGGUAUCCUGUCUGAAUAUGGGGGGACCAUCCUCCAAGGCUAAAUACUCCUGACUGACCGAUAGUGAACCAGUACCGUGAGGGAAAGGCGAAAAGAACCCCGGCGAGGGGAGUGAAAAAGAACCUGAAACCGUGUACGUACAAGCAGUGGGAGCACGCUU
rnacentral:rRNA from 1 species